rnacentral:rRNA from 1 species
AUGCCGCUAAUCCAAUGCUCCCCGCGCGUCCUCCUCCUCCGCCGCCAACGCUUCACGCCGCACCACCCAUUCCCCGCUUCCACCUUCGCCCUCCCCGUCCGCCGCUCCACCGCCCUCCGGGCCGAGCCGGAGCCCCAGCCGCCGCCGGACACCUACGACGACAGCGGGGACGGCCCCGUGGAAAUCCGCGCCCCGACGCUGUUCUCCGUCGACGACAACCCCACCCCGCUGCAGGUCGCCACGAGCGUCAUGCUCACGGGUGCCAUCUCCGUCUUCCUCUUCCGCUCCCUCCGCCGCCGCGCUCGCCGCGCCAAGGAGCUCAGGGUGCGGUCCGGCGGGAUGGAGAAGCCCAGGAACCUGAGCGAGGAGGCCCUGGAAGCGCUGAGGAUGGUGAGCACCUCGCCGGUGGAGACUAAUAAGCCGCCGUCGCCCGUGCAGGCGCUGCUCGGGGGAAUCGCGGCUGGGGUCAUCGCGCUAUUCCUGUACAAGUUCGCCACCACCGUCGAGGCCUCGCUCAACCGGCAGACCAUCUCCGACAAUUUCUCGGUUCGCCAGAUAACAGUAACAAUAAGAACAAUUAUAAAUGGGCUGUGCUACCUAGCAACAUUUGUGUUUGGAAUCAACGGAGUGGGAUUGAUACUCUAUUCCCUCCAGCUUACUUUUAACUCUCUCAUGGACGAUGAGACUAGCAGCUCAUCCGUAGAGAAAAUCAGCGAGCAGUCCAGCACAAUGGCUUCAUCUAGUAGCUCCACAAGUGACAGCAUAUCGGACAGUAGUGACUUGCAGCAGAUAUCGGACAAGAAUAAAAACUCAUCGGAAUAG